AAAGAUUUAGUUAAAUAUUAUCAUAACAUUAAUUUGUCAAAUUAAAGUUAGACCACAGCUCAAAAUCUAAUCUUUA
rnacentral:tRNA from 1 species